UACAGAGGCUGCAAGCGUUAUUCGGAUUCACUGGGCGUAAAGGGUGCGCAGGCGGUUGGGUGUGUCAGAUGUGAAAUCCCGAGGCUCAACCUCGGAACUGCGUCUGAAACUACUCGACUAGAGUACUGGAGAGGGUAACGGAAUUCACGGUGUAGCAGUGAAAUGCGUAGAUAUCGUGAGGAACACCAGAGGCGAAGGCGGUUACCUGGACAGUUACUGACGCUCAGGCACGAAAGCAUGGGGAGCAAAAGGG
rnacentral:rRNA from 1 species